ensembl:snoRNA
AUGCCCUAUGAUUAUAAAAAGACGCGUUAUUCUGAGGAACACAUCUGCUACUAGUCUUUGCUCUACUGUCUACUCCAUCUUUAAUCUGCUUCAUCUCUCCUGUCCUCCCUCCACUUCUUCUACUCUUUUUUUUCAAACUGGUAGCAGGUCCACUGACUGCGAUUAUGAGAUAUGAGGGCAU